rnacentral:rRNA from 1 species
AUUGAACGCUGGCGGCAGGCCUAACACAUGCAAGUCGAGCGGAGCGGCGGACGGGUGCGUAAUGCCUAGGAAUCUGCCAGUUAGUGGGGGAUAACGUCCGGAAACGGGCGCUAAUACCGCAUACUAUCAGCAGAGCCUAGGUCGGAUUAGCUAGUUGGUGGGGUAAAGGCAUACCAAGGCGACGAUCCGUAACUGGUCUGAGAGGAUGAUCAGUUACACUGGAACUGAUACACGGUCCAGACUCCUACGGGAGGCAGCAGUGGGGAAUAUUGGACAAUGGGCGAAAGCCUGAUCCAGCCAUGCCGCGUGUGUGAAGAAGGUCUUCGGAUUGUAAAGCACUUUAAGUUGGGAGGCGUUACCAACAGAAUAAGCACCGGCUAACUUCGUGCCAGCCGCCGCGGUAAUUC